rnacentral:rRNA from 1 species
UACGUAGGUGGCAAGCGUUGUCCGGAUUUACUGGGCGUAAAGAGCGCGCAGGCGGUCGGACAGGUCGCGUGUGAAAGCCCCCGGCUCAACUGGGGAGGGUCACGCGAUACUGUUCGACUCGAAGGCAGGAGAGGGAAGUGGAAUUCCCGGUGUAGUGGUGAAAUGCGUAGAGAUCGGGAGGAACACCGGUGGCGAAGGCGGGUCUCUGGGCAUUUCCUGACGCUGAGGCGCGAAAGCGUGGGGAGCAAACGGG